rnacentral:lncRNA from 1 species
UUACCAUUAAUCAUGCUAAUCAAUAAAGAAAAGGGUGUGUGUACAAUUGCAUGGGGGAUCAGGAUGGAUGGGAUUGUCAAUUGUGUGAACAAACAAACUAAUAUUAAGCGUUGGUAAAUAAAUGGGUCAUGUAUUGUUGUUGUUGAUGGGGUUCUCUUCUGCCCUUCGAAUUCUUUGUACUAUCUAUGGCCCAUGCGUCUCUCCCUACCUUUCU